UCACGGAUAGCUCAGUCAGUAGAGCAUGGGACUCUGGAUUUCAAGGUCAUGGGUUUAAGCACCACAUUGGGCAAAA